rnacentral:rRNA from 1 species
AUUGAACGCUGGCGGCAGGCCUAACACAUGCAAGUCGAACGAGUGGCGGACGGGUGAGUAAUGUCUGGGAAACUGCCCGAUGGAGGGGGAUAACUACUGGAAACGGUAGCUAAUACCGCAUACCAUCGGAUGUGCCCAGAUGGGAUUAGCUCGUAGGUGGGGUAACGGCUCACCUAGGCGACGAUCCCUAGCUGGUCUGAGAGGAGGACCAGACAGACUGGAACUGCGACACGGUCCAUACUCCGACGGGAGGCAGCAGUGGGGAAUAUUGCACAAUGGGCGAAAGCCUGAUGCAGCCAUGACGCGUGUAUGAAGAAGGCCUUCGGGUUGUAAAGUGCUUUCAGCGGGGAGGCGUUACCCGCAGAAGAAGCAGCGGCUAACUCCGUGCCAGCAGCAGCGGUAAUUC